AACGCGAAGAACCUUACCUGGGCUUGACAUGUUCCUGACCGCCGUGGAAACACGGUUUCCCUUCGGGGCAGGAUCACAGGUGGUGCAUGGCUGUCGUCAGCUCGUGUCGUGAGAUGUUGGGUUAAGUCCCGCAACGAGCGCAACCCCCGUCGCAUGUUGCCAGCAUUUAGUUGGGGACUCAUGCGAGACUGCCGGUGACAAACCGGAGGAAGGUGGGGAUGACGUCAAGUCAUCAUGCCCCUUAUGUCCAGGGCUACACACGUGCUACAUUGGCGCGUACAGAGGGUUGCGAUACCGCGAGGUGGAGCGAAUCCCUCAAAGCGCGUCUCGGUUCGGAUUGCAGGCUGAAACUCGCCUGCAUGAAGGCGGAGUUGCUAGUAAUCGCGGAUCAGCACCGCCGCGGUGAAUACGUUCCCGGGCCUUGUACACACCGCUACAGU
rnacentral:rRNA from 1 species